rnacentral:rRNA from 1 species
UACAUGCAAGUCGAACGCUUUGUCUUUAAUUGAUAUGACGAGCUUGCUCUGAUGUGAUUUUAUCUGACAAAGAGUGGCGAACGGGUGAGUAACACGUGGGUAACCUACCUCUUAGCAGGGGAUAACAUUUGGAAACAAGUGCUAAUCCGUAUAAUACCAACAACCGCAUGGUUGUUGGUUGAAAGAUGGUUCUGCUAUCACUAAGAGAUGGACCCGCGGUGCAUUAGCUAGUUGGUAAGGUAACGGCUUACCAAGGCAAUGAUGCAUAGCCGAGUUGAGAGACUGAUCGGCCACAAUGGGACUGAGACACGGCCCAUACUCCUACGGGAGGCAGCAGUAGGGAAUCUUCCACAAUGGGCGCAAGCCUGAUGGAGCAACGCCGCGUGUGUGAUGAAGGGUUUCGGCUCGUAAAACACUGUUAUAAGAGAAGAACGGCACUGAGAGUAACUGUUCAGUGUGUGACGGUAUCUUACCAGAAAGGAACGGCUAAAUACGUGCCAGCAGCCGCGGUAAUACGUAUGUUCCAAGCGUUAUCCGGAUUUAUUGGGCGUAAAGCGAGCGCAGACGGUUAUUUAAGUCUGAAGUGAAAGCCCUCAGCUCAACUGAGGAAUGGCUUUGGAAACUGGAUGA